UACCAUGUUAACCAUAGUAACUGCUGACCAA
rnacentral:piRNA from 1 species